UGUAACUUCUUUGGAGAUAUGGGUGAAGCAGAUGCGGUUGUGUCCACCACCGCAUCGAGCUGUCUCGAGUCUUGUGGUUGUGGUGUUUGUGUUCGUUACGGCCGGUUGGUUGUUUACACCUCAAGUGCUGAGAAAUAAUGUGCAUAAGAGAGUGAUAAAUGAAUGUUUGUUUGUUAUAGACUUUGUCAAAUCACACCUUGUUAACAUUGUAAUGUAACAUUCAUAAUAUGAAGAAGCGUUUUUUUUUUGUUAUCCUCAUCGUUAUUAUCGAUAAAAGGUUAGGCCACACACUUGGGAAGUAGAGGCAGGACAAAGCUGGAGCAAUGAAGUUUGUCAUGCGUUACAAAUUUGGACUCCUAUAAGUAAAAUAAAAAAACGUUUUUAUUCAAAUAUGUGCCAAAAAAACUAAACCAUAUAUAUAGUGAUCUAGUAAGUCGAUGGCACAUAUGGAAAGCUAGGAAUGGCUUGGUGUUUGAAAAAAUCCGUCUAUCUCCAUCCUCCAUUGUUAACAAGGCCGAGGAAGAGGCUGACUCCUGGUUUAGUGCUAACUUCCCAGAAGAGAACAUGACCCAGAACAAGGCCCUGGAUAACCAUCAACGCGCCAUCUGGCAAGCUCCUCCGCCAGGAAUGCUUAAAUGUAAUAUUGAUGUCUCAUGGGUGAAUGGGUCAGUUAACUGUGGAGUCUCCUGGAUCACUCGCGACACUAAAGGGAAAGUCUUAAUGCAUAGUCGUCGAUCUUAUUCUAUGGUGCAAUCGCGUGAUGAGGCUGAACUCUAUGCUCUCUUAUGGGCAGUAGAAUGUAUGCAGACCUUAAGACUUGAUAACAUCAUUUUCGAGACUUCCUUUACUCAUGCGAGACGCUGUUUAUAUCAUUGGGAUGAUCAGGUAUGUGCUCCUGAAUCUUACCGAAUCUCAAACGUUAUCAUCUCAAAGUUACAGCUAAUAUCGGCAUGGAGCCUAGACUAUGCUCUUCCAGCAAGCAACUCCAUUGCAUCGAGAAUUGCUGCAAGUGUGACGUCGCAUCAGCUAUACCAAUCUUAUAUCGCAAGGAAUGGACCUUCUUGGCUUCAUCAGGCGAUAGCAGAUGAAGCUUAAACAUUGUUUUCAGCUUGCUCCCUUCAGCCACGUGACCUGGGUUUCUCAAGCUCUAGUGGUUAUUUUAAUCUCCUCAGGCCUGCGUGCCUGGUUUCUUUCAGCCCUAUUGGGUUUGUGUUUGAACCUCUCUGCUUUAUCUGUUUGCAUGGUGUAUGAUCAUCAUGGCUGAAUUUUGUUUUCUUUGGUCUCUUUUUGACCUCUUUCUUGAAAUGGAAUUAUUCAGUGUUAAAAAAAAAAGUAAGUCGAUGAAUCACCAUAAACUCAGUGGAUAGAGUAGAUAAGUGAGAUCCGACCAUCUUUCACGCCCUCAUCCACUAGGCCAACUCCAGUUUCAGAUUAACUCGGAACUACUUUCCUUACUUUGGUCAAACUCUCUAUCGGGAAAAAACAACCUUUAUGACAAGGCCAUGUGAUUGGGAACAAUGCAUGGUGUGAUCAUAUUUACACAUUUUUAAUCAUGAUGAGUUGCUUGCAUUCUUUGGCAUUGUACCCGUUUACUUUAUACUAGUCACAAAACUUGGUUCCAUCGUGGGCAUGAGAAGACGAAGUUUGUGGGGCGGUGGAAGAUAAGUCUGAUGGUUUCACGAUUGCUCACUGUAGGGUUUGUAGUUUUACGAGUGGUUGGUUUUUUUUUCCUCCUCUUCUAAGAAGUGGCAUGUUUGUUAGACUCUCUAAUGAAGCUUUUUUUGUUCAUUGAUUAUGUGAAGGGCUAUGUUUUUUACUUUUCGGUAAUUCGUGGAUUAUCAAAUCAUAUUACUUUGUGAAAUUUCAGAAUUACACAGAUGUGAUUAGUGGUUUCGGUAGAUCAUCAUCUACUGUAGAGAUAGUUUGAGGAGGAGUUAUGAGACUUCAUAUCUAUAUAUAUCAUCAUUUAUAUAAACAAGUGGUUUUGCUUACUUUUUAGCUGGUCAUGUUGGGACUUAAACGGGUUAAGUUGUGAGUCGAUUGAUUAAGCUUUGGUAAUUUUGUGCAGAAUCAGUAGAGUUGAAACUUUUCAUAAAGGGUAAGUGUUUCGACAAUGGCUUAUGGCUCUGUAGCAUAAUCGCGUGGGGAAUCUCAUGAAUCACGUGUUCGACAUGUCUUAAUUUAGUUGUUUGGUUUAAUUUGGACUUUUCUGUAAUGGGGUUAAUCCCUUUUGAAACCAACCACUCGUAAAUUUCAUCCUUGAGACUGAUGAAAGAGAAAUGCUAAUUGUCUUUUAGGGAAUAAAUCUUAUUGCUUUGUGAGACUUUAAACACAAGUUGGCAUAUUUUAACCGGCUCACUUUUGUUUAUCAAUAAAAUUUUGAUUAUAAAAUUUAGUAAUAUCCAAAAUAAUAAUAGUAUACCUUGUGAGAGGGACCGUGAUGAGUUCCUCCACCGGAUUAAAUGCCCUUAUGCCAUCCUGAACGGACUUUUGAAGUGUAUCUUGCUAUUAAUAUAAUGAAACUAGAUAUAAGCUGUGCGCGGAUAUUGUUCUGUCGAAUUUUUAUACAUAUUUAGUAAUAGAUUAUAUGUCUAUAAUAUUUUUAUGUAAUUGACUUUUACAUAAUAAAUUUUAUAGAUAUAUUGAAUUGUGUUGUUGUUACAAAAUAUCAUGUACAUGUUUAUUUUUCUAUUCACAAAUUUUUAAUGUUGUACAUGGUGUUUUUUUUUCUAAUGUUAGAUGUUGCGUUUGUAAUUUAAUAUUUUGAUUUAGAAAUGUAAUUUCGAUUUUUUAUAAAUAAUUUUUUAAAAAAAUUUAAACUAUUUUAUUAAACUAUUUUAACAAAUUAAUAUGAUUGUCUUUGUAACUAUUUUUGUUGUUAAAAAGAUCUGACAUAUUUGACGCAAAUAUUGUAAAGAACUACUUUUAAGAUAUAGCCAUAUGAGUCCAAGUUUUUGAAUGUGAAGUGUGGUAUUGUAUUAGGUGCUGGAAUAUUAUUUAUACUGACUUGGUUAGGGGUGGACGUUCGGUAUCCAUUCAGGCUCGGUUCGGAUCUAUUCGGAUUUUAUGUUUUUGGAGUCAAAGAUUUCAGCCCAAUUCGGGUACUUAAUUUCUAAAUUUCGGUUCGGAUUCGGCUAUGAUCUUUGCGGGUUCUGUUAUGAUCUUUGCGGGUUCGAUUUAGGUUCAAAUAACUCAUUUAAAUUAUUUUUAAAAUUUAAAAUUCAUUAUAUAUUUAAAAUUACUCAAAAUCUAUUAACAAAAUAAAAUAUUACAUAUAAAUUUUAAUAAUAUAUGUUAAAAUACCUAAACUUAACAUAUAAAUUGGUUUGGUUUGAAUAUUUGGAUAGAAAAUAAAUAAAUAUUUUAAGUAUUUUUUAGUGUUUUGAGUAUAGUUUAACUAUUUUAAAUAUUUACUGACCAUUUGUAUAUAAUUUCAAGUAUUUUGGAUAACUUAAAAGUAUUAUAUAUAUUUUGAAUGUUAUUAAUAUACAUUAAAUCUAAAAAUAAUUAAUAUAUGGGUUUAUAAAUCUAUUUCAGAUACAUUCGGGUACCCGAAAUAUUUCGGUUCGGAUCUUGUUCGGUUUUAUUUCUUUAAAUACCAAAAUUUUGAACCCGUUAGGAUAUUUAAUAAAUUUUUGUUCGGGUUCGGUAUUAUUUUUCGGAUUGGGUUCUGGUCAGGUCUUCGGAUUCAAGUUUUAUGCCCAGCCCUAGACUUGAUACCAAAAAAUAAUUAGGUAUAAUGAGUGUCGUUAGGAUCGGAUAUUCUGAUUUACAUAUUUGAAAGAUCGAUGGCAUAUUCUCAUUUCUAUAUUUUGUAGAAAUUGUUAUAAAAAAGUUAAGAUAUAUAAUAUUUCGAAUGUAGAUUGGAAAUUAAUAAAUAGAUAGCUCAGAAUUUAAGGAAAAAAGUCUUAAAAAUUAUAUAUCUUCUUAUCAAAUAUAACAGAAUAACAAAAUAAAGAAAUCUAAUUAAAAUGUUUGUGGUUUUUUUUGUUUGGAAGACAUGUAAUAAAGAUUUGAUGAAACCUAUUCUUAAUAACAUGUUUCUAAUGUUCUUUAUUUGUUACGAAAAAACUAAUCUAACAUAAAAAGACACGUGUAUAAAUUGUAGUGGUUUAUGAUAAACAAAAAAACUUAUGUAACAUAAAAGAUGAUCAUGAUAUAAUCUCUAUAUGAUUGAAUCUUAUAAACUGUAACCAUUGUGUUCAUAUUGGCUGGUUUCUCUAAGUUUAACAGAAAAGAAAGUGAUCUCAUACUAAAUGUUCGUCAUUGUAAGAAAGAACCAAGCAGUAAGCAUUGUUUGCUAUCAAGCGGACAAAUUAUAGUGUACUCUCUUUUUUUUGAACAUGUACUAUGAUGAAAUAUGGACAAAAAUAUUAAGUAAUCUGAUGAAUCAUGUUGCAGUUUAUGAUCUCAAGAGAAGGAAAUAUGAUCAUUUAUACGAAGAUGAGGUCUAUUUAUGGUCUUGUAUUGUUAAUGUAAUAGUAGAUAACCGUGAGUUUUGUUUUUGUAUUGUUAAUUUCGGAUAAUGAGAUUGGUUAAGUUUUAAUAGAUUUAAUGUUGGUUUAGUUUUAGUUGUCCGGUCCUUUAAUCUUAGUAGUGUAUAAUAAUAAUUAGAUGUAACAAAUUUGUAAUGGUCCAUAAAUUAAGUAGCUUUCUAACAAAAAUGAAAGAGUCCAAAAUUUAAAUGACAACUUUCAAUAGUAGAUAAAUUUAGGACCCUAAAUUAAUAGAUUAGAUAUAUAAAACUUGAUGAAAAAAGAAAGAAAUCAAGACAAAUUUGAAUAGAGACGUCUUUGUUACAGUGUGUCAGUUCAUGAUUAGUCCACACUUUUAUAUUUUAAAUCAAAUUACAAUGAUUAAUUAUUAUAUUAACUACAGUUAGCUAGCAACCCACAGAACUUAGAAGAAAAAAAAGAGAGAAAGAAACAGAAGAAUGGAAGAAGAGUUGAGAAACUUGCUCAAGGUUUGGGUCUCUGCCUUAAUCUCCAUAUCUUACUGUUACUACAUCUCUUCAAGAAUCUCCAAAGGUUUUCUCCGUCUGCUCUCUCUCCUUCCCACCUUCAUCAUCUUUCUUCUUAUUCCUCUCUUCUUCUCUUCUGUCCACUUAUGUGUCAUCUCUGCUUUCUUCCUCACAUGGCUCGCAAACUUCAAGCUCGCUCUCUUUGCUUUUGAUCAAGAACCUUUAAGCCCACUUCCUUCAACUCUCUCCCGUUUCUUCUGUUUCGCUUGUUUCCCCAUCAAAACCAAUCAAACCCCUUCUUCAAAUCGUAUACACAACAAGCCUAUGUCCAAAUGGGGUCUUGCUUCUAAAGUUAUAAUCAUCUCUUUCUUAUUAUAUCUCUACGGUAAAAAUUACCAUAACAGUUUAUCUCAGCUCCCUUUCUUGGCUAUCUUUACUGUCCAUAUCUACCUUGAGGUAGAGUUUGUCCUCUUCUCUAUCGGUACGUUGCUCUCUAAACUUCUUGGUUGUGAAAUCGAACCGGUCUUCAAUGAGCCUUACUUAGCUACUUCAUUACAAGACUUCUGGAGUCGUAGAUGGAACCGCAUGGUUCCCAUCAGUUCUACGUACAACCAUUCUCAUCCCGAUUCAGCAGUAUACGGCUAGGUUAAUCGGUCCAAACCUGGCCUUUUAUGCUGGAGUGUUGGCGACGUUUCUUGUCUCCGGGUUAAUGCACGAGCUUAUUUACUUUUAUUUUAUCCGUAAAUCUCCAACUUGGGAAGUUACUUGUUUCUUUGUGUUGCAUGGAGUUGUAACUUCUUUGGAGAUAUGGGUGAAGAGCAUGCGGUUGUGUCCACCACCGCAUCGAGCUGUCUCGAGUCUUGUGGUUGUGGUGUUUGUUUUUGUUACGGCCGGUUGGUUGUUUACACCUCAAGUGCUGAGAAAUAAUGUGCAUAAGAGAGUGAUAAAUGAAUGUUUGUUUGUUAUUGACUUUGUCAAAUCACAAGUUGUUAACAUUGUAAUGUAACGUUUCAUAAUAUGGAGC
rnacentral:lncRNA from 1 species